CCAUUUGUUUUUUUCUAGGAUUAGGGUUUAACCAACAGUUAAACUUUCAAAGCCCCUAAAUUCCUACCCCAACCCAUGCCGAUUCUUUCACUCUCCCGCUUCAUUUCAAUCUCAAUUUCCUCAAAACCAAACAAGAUUUUCACUUUUCUAUUUAGCACAGCCUCUUCUGCAGACAAAUUCUUCACUCAUUUACAGAAAAAACAGAGCAACAUAGAGAAGACCCUAGCUUUAGUCAAUUCUAAACUGGACUCGAAUUGUGUCUGUGAAGUGCUAGAAAGAUGCUCCUUUGAUAAAUCUCAAAUGGGUCUGAGGUUUUUUAUAUGGGCAGGUCUUCAAUCAAAUUAUAGACAUAGCUCUUAUAUGUAUAGCAAAGCUUGUGAAUUUUUGAAAAUUAAGCAAAACCCGUUUCUUGUUUUGGAUGUUAUUGAAGCUUACAAGGUGGAAAAGUGCUUGGUUAACGUUAAAAUGUUUAAGGUUGUUUUGAAUUUGUGUAGAGAAGCUAGGAUUACUGAUGAGGCUUUGUUGGUAUUGAGGAAAAUGCCUGAAUUUAAUUUACGACCUGAUACCACUACUUAUAAUAUGGUUAUUAGGUUGAUUUGUGAGAAAGGGGAUAUGGAUAUGGCUGAUAAAUUGAUGAAAGAGAUGGGCUUGAUUGAUCUUUAUCCUGAUAUGAUCACGUAUUUGGCUAUGAUCAAGGGGUUUUGCAGUGCUGGUAGAUUAGAGGAUGCUUGUGGGUUGUUUCAGGUUAUGAGGGAGCAUGGGUGUUUUCCAAAUGCGGUGGUGUAUUCUGCUCUUCUCGAGGGGAUUUGUAGAUAUGGGAGUGUGGAAAAGGCAUUGGAAUUGUUGGGGGAGAUGGAGAAAGAAGGUGACGGUUGUAGUCCAAAUGUUAUCACAUAUACAUCUGUGAUUCAAAGUUUUUGUGAGAAGGGUCAGACAACAAAGGCAUUGAGGGUUUUGGAUAGAAUGGGAACUUGUGGGUGUGCUCCUAAUCGUGUAACAGUUAGUACUUUGAUCAAGAGGCUCUGUGCCGAGGGACAUGUUGAAGAAGCUUAUAAGUUGAUUGAUAAAGUUGUUCCUGGGGGUGGCGUUUCGGAUGGUGAUUGCUAUAGUUCUCUUGUGGUGUCUUUGAUAAGGAUUAAAAGACUUGAUGAGGCAGAGAAGCUCUUUAGGAAGAUGUUAGCAACUGGGGCUAAACCUGAUAGCAUUGCAUGUAGUAUCAUGAUUAGGGAGAUCUGUCAAGAGGGACGGGUGCUUGAUGGUUUUUACUUAUAUGAAGAAAUUGAGCGGAUGCGAUACUUGUCUUCCAUUGACGCUGAUAUCUAUUCUAUUCUUUUGGUUGGCCUUUGUCGGCAAAGCCAUUCGGUUGAAGCUGCAAAGCUUGCUAGGUCGAUGCUUGAAAAAAGAAUUCGCUUGAAAGCUCCUUAUGUUGACAAAAUUAUUGAACAUCUGAAAAACUGUGGAGAUAAGCAGCUAGUUACUGAGCUUGGUAGGAUAGGAAGGAUUUUAUUCAGGAUGAUCCUGGUCUGAAUGAGAAUACAGCUAAGUCAAGUUGUUGUUUUUCCGAUUUAUGUCAUGUUGUAAGUGGAUUAUAGGAUGCUCUUUUUUUUUUUUCAAUUAUGUGUGCUUAUUUUUCAUUUCAAAUAUUAUCUUGCGUAAUUAAAAGCCUCUUCUUGUGAACUUCGUAGGGGUUAAGAUCACAAUUUACACUAUUAAUCUUUCUCCUGUUGAUCAGCCUAACUUGUGUAUCCUGAAGGCUGAAGCAAUUUGUAUUAGGACGCUACCUUGCAAAGGAAAGGCGUAGAUGCAUGUCAGAUUGCUGAAGGAUUUUAUAAAGCCAUCUGAUAAAGAAGCUGUUUAGUCCAUAUUGUCUUUUCAAAUUUGUUAGGGAAAGAAAAUGAGUUAUUGCAUGGUAAAACGGCAAUUGUUGCCGUGUAAAGGCCAAAGCAUCAUAACUGUGGAGUGGAUAAUGCAAUCUGAAACAAAGUUUUCUUCUUCAGAACUUAUUGCAAGUCGUUUUAGUAUUUCAUUGCUGAAGGUUUUGAUAACUUAUUUUAAUCCGACGAAUCUGAAGUAUUACACAAACAUCAUGUUAUUGAGUGAUUCAUGAGCUUUGUUCAUCCUGGGGAGAGAAAAGAAGAGAAAAGAAAUCCAGGGUUUGCCAAAUCUAUGUAAGUAGGCAUCAUGAGUAAUCCCAGGAAAGAAGGAACAAAUUGCUCAUGUUCCCCAACUGAUUCAUUCAUUUGGAAAUAUGCAAUGCGUCAAGACCUGGUGUUGUGUUUUCUUCUUGACAAAUCCUCAGAGAAUACAUAUUCCUCGAUAAACGGAGAGCGUCCACCUCUCAUUGUCUUUUUGUUGUACUCAGUUAGCAAACUUGUUAUCAAGCUCUUAGCAUUUUUGGUUCGUAGAGAUGCUGAAACGAUCAAUGUUUUCUGUUGGCAGAGCUGACAUCUUGCUCUCACAUGAAUGCACAGUUCAUUAGUUCUUGUCCUUUA